GAUGAACGCUGGCGGCGUGCCUAAUACAUGCAAGUCGAGCGAACAGAUGAGGAGCUUGCUCCUCUGACGUUAGCGGCGGACGGGUGAGUAACACGUGGAUAACCUACCUAUAAGACUGGGAUAACUUCGGGAAACCGGAGCUAAUACCGGAUAAUAUAUUGAACCGCAUGGUUCAAUAGUGAAAGACGGUUUUGCUGUCACUUAUAGAUGGAUCCGCGCCGCAUUAGCUAGUUGGCAAGGUAACGGCUUACCAAGGCAACGAUGCGUAGCCGACCUGAGAGGGUGAUCGGCCACACUGGAACUGAGACACGGUCCAGACUCCUACGGGAGGAAGCAGUAGGGACUCUUCCGCAAUGGGCGAAAGCCUGACGGAGCAACGCCGCGUGAGUGAUGAAGGUCUUCGGAUCGUAAAACUCUGUUAUUAGGGAAGAACAAAUGUGUAAGUAACUAUGCACGUCUUGACGGUACCUAAUCAGAAAGCCACGGCUAACUACGUG
rnacentral:rRNA from 1 species